AUAUCUCUCYGUACGGGAAGGAUGAGAAGCUUCGAYUAAGGUUCGAUUCGAGCGUCAGCGAGAAAGCGUUGCCGCAGGCAACGACCCGAAGGGCGAAGCGCGCAGCGCUGAGUCAUCCUUCCCCCACCACCA
rnacentral:sRNA from 1 species